CACCGUCUUCAGGGCGGGGUGUAAUUCCCCACCGGCGGUAUGUCGUACUCGACGAGCCCGCGAGCGCCUCGAUUCAUCGUCGAGGGUCAGCAGAUCUGGUGCGAUGCCAGAGCCGACGGUUAGAGUCCGGAUGAAAGAAGACGCAC
rnacentral:ncRNA from 2 species